AGGAGGCUUGGGACGUCGCUGCUGAGCGCCUGAGCGCUUGCUAUGGAGGGAGGUGUCCGUCGGCUUCUCCAGCUGCCUUCUUUAGAGGAAAAAGAGACUCAGCAGGUAGUCCAGGCUGGCCUUGAACCCAUGCUGUAGUCUAGGCUGACCUUGAACUACAGCCUCAGCCUCCUAAAUGCUGGGAUUACAGGUAUGCACCACCAUAUCUGGGUUGUAAUCUUUUAAGCAGGCUUUUAAAUAAACGAGAAUUUAUUUUUAAAAAUGUGAGUCACAUAUGCUAUGGAUUCUGUUAAGUUAGCUUUCGAAGACAAAAAGCAUUCCAAAGACAAAGUGUUUAAUAUUUGUGUCCUAGUUAUAAAACAAGUUAGAAUAAGUUUCUGAUUGUUCAUAUGAUAAUUAACAAAAAAAUUUUUUUUUUUUGUACUGGGGACUGAACUCAGGACCUUGCGCUUACAAGGCAGGUGUGGUGCCACUGAGCUAAAUCCCUGCCUCAAUAACAUACAAAAUUUAAUCCCCGAUAAACACUAGACUUUUCCACUCCUGUUUCCCACAGAGAGGAUUUUCCCCUACGUACUUCCCGCAUCAGUCUCCACUUUCUGCGGAGCGGGAGUAACUGCCAAUGGGCGGCCGGUCCAUGUUUCAGCUGGGCAGCACUGAUGCAGCGAAGUCCAUGAGCUAGCACACUGCCAUCCUCCCUCUCCAUCCAUGUGGGGCAGAGCAACCUGGAUACCACGGGUGAAACCAACUGGCCCACUACACCUCCCUCCCCAGGGGCUGCUCCCAGGCCAGUGGAGGGAAAGGUUGUUCAUUCUUCAAACAUUUAAUGAUGCCUGCCAUAUUCCAGCCAUUGUUCUGGGCCCAGGAUACAGUCAGAAACAGGUAAAAGAUUUCAUGAAGCCUGAAUCCUAGUGGACUUUAUCUGUGAAGCAGUAACUUUUCUCAAAUAGCUAACAACCUUUUUCACCAACAUCCUUCCCCCCUCUUCUCACACACGUGCCUUUUUUUUUUUUUGGUACUGGGGAUUGAACUUGGAACCUUGAACUUGUGAGGCAGGCAGCAGCACCACUGAGCUAAAUCCCUGGCCCACAUGCCUAACUUUUAUUCAUCUCAAAUGUAUCACAGAGAAUUACUAAGUGUAGAAACCUCAAAACAAAGAGAUGUUUCAAAAUACUAUUGUCUGUAAAGCCAGUUUAUUUACUUGACAUUUCUAUGGUUUUAUUUAGACAGAAUAAAACAUGCACAUGAGCCAUUUGUUCAUUUUGGCAUCGUGCAGCCUGGCUCCAGGGCUGGUGAUUCUGAUGCCAGCCUGGGCUGCUCUUUCCACAAUGCGAGGGAGCAUGGCGAGCGGUCUCAGAUGGCAAGGCUGCUUGCUGCUCAACAGCGGUGCUCCAGCUCCCAGGCUGUGGACCAGGCCUCCAGAGGCUAGUGGGCAGAAUGGCCUUUGUUUCCCUGCUGCUUCCAUAACCUUGAAUCUUCUCUGUGCCCUGUGAUCAACACCCCUGGGUUUCUUCCAGUUAUUUGUGUUCUGGCACAUCCCUGUGAGCGAUGGUAGAUGAACCUGUGGGUCCUCUUCCUGAGGCUCUUAGAGUUAGAAGAGUCUGAGAGCGGCCACAGUGUCCACAGGAGAUGCUGCCACCACGUAGCCAGUGAGGAAGCAGAGAGCUGGGGGCUACUUCUAAUCAGAGAAACACGAACCUGCCUUCCAUCCCACUUCCAUCCCACUGAGAUCCUUCCAAAAAUACUACCCUUCAUAAUUAUCAAAAGUUGUGAUGUGCUUAUAUUAUUUUAAUCAAUUAAUUUUUCAGGAUAAAUGUACAGGUGAGUCCAGAAAAGAAAUUUUUAUUAUUUGGUGCCUUAUGGUCUCAAUAACUUUUUAAAAAUUUUAUAUACACAUACAUAUAUAUAUUAAUGACAGUUAAGUGACUGACAAAAUAUUCCAAGUUUUCAAUAGGAUUAUAUUAAGAUAGAACUGUGUGGGGAAAGUAGAAUGCAAAUUCAAUUUCAAGAGGAAAAAGGAAUAGCGUAAUGUCAGACUAUUAAAGAAGAGGCUUGCUCAUUUAUUCUUCAACAGAUGCUGGUAUCAAAUCUUUGUGUACAUUAUAUACAUUUAAAAUAACCCAGUGGGUGGCAGCCAUUAAUCGCACUAUGCAGUUCAAACUGACCUUGAGCUCACUAUGUAAUCUACGCUGGCCUCUAACUCAGGUAAUCCUCCUGCCUCAGCCUCCCUAGUGCUGGGAUUACAGAUGAGAACCACUACACCUGGUCAGGGACCAAAAGUCUUAUUCUUAUUGUAGAUAGGUAAGUUAAUUAGAUAUCUUAUAGCCAGUUAGACAGGGCCAGCACAGAGGACAAUUGAGACACAUUCACUGAAGGCUAGCAUUGUAAAAAGAACAGAAACUAUUACACCCGGUAUGCUUCCCCUAGGGAUAAACAGCAAUGACUGAUAUUCUGAAUAGGUACCAAUCACCUGGGCUGGGGACCAAGAUCUUAACCCACCUCCUUCAGGAAAGAUCCCUGAUCCACCCCUUACUGAAAAGCCUUGCUCAUUCCUUGUAAACUAGCUACCUGACUUGCUUUGCCAUUCGAUCCCCAUUUAAUUAGUAUUACCUAAGUGACUGUACUUGUAAUCUUAUUGGUUGAUCAUUGUUUUGCCCCACCUUGUGAUUUCCCAUUGGAUCAAUAUUAAUCUUACUAGGGCUGGGGAUUUAGCUCAGUGGCACCACACCUGCCUGGUGAGCAUAAGGCCCUGAGUUUGAUCCCUGUUAACAGAAAAAAAUUAAUUUUACUACUUGACUAUAGUUCUGUCCCACCUUGAACUCACCUCACCUGGUGGCUUUGCUCCAUAAAACCCCUCUGGAAAACAGGGUCCUCGGGCAACCCAUUUUCUUGUUCCCCCUCUGUCUCUCUUAGACAGAAGCUAUCUUUCUCUCAAUAAAUUCUUCUUACUCUUAAAAACAACUACAACAAUAACAAAAAAAUCCAGUGGGCUCUCUCUCUGACUCUCACUUUUUCAAGUUGAUGUGUGGAUACAGCCAAGUGGCUGGAACCUAACUGGCCAGCACCUUGACCAUGGACUUUCCAGUCUCCAGAACUGUGAGGAAAAACUGCUGCUGGUUCAGCCCAAACAGAAAUAACCCAGUGAUUAUUAAAAAUUAUCCCAAUAUUUACAUAUUGGAAACUGUAUUAUUUGCAGCUAUUUUAGAAAGAAAAAUGUUAAAGCUGUGCAAGGUGGUGGACGCGUGUAAUCCCAGCUACUUGCGAGGGAGAGGCAGAAGAAUCUCACAUUUAAGAGCACUCUGCCCCACUCAGUGCGACCUUAUCUCAAAAACAAAAAAAUGAAGAGCCGGGAUGUAGCUUGGCAAUAAAGGGCUUGCCGUCAAGCCCCUGGGUUCAAUCCCUAGCACUACCAUAAAAAAAAAAAAAA